UCUCCGCAACGACAUUCCCUGAAUUGCUGAAGUGGAAAUACAGAAAGAAAGAUUUAUUUCCAAUACUUUUUAUCUUUGUUCCCGUCUCUUAUCGCCUGGCAGGCAUGCAAGAGCUGCCAGGACCAGGUUAUUGUACGGCAGCCUCGCCCGUCCAAUAAACAUGGAUAGGAGGACGAGAGUAGUGUGACACAAACAUCCCCAGCGAGAGGCAGUAGCUAGAAGACAGUGUCUUGGCGUUAGCUUGUGUCCACAGUGAUCUCCAUUACUCCCAGUUGUUUGCGCGUGGGAACGUCGUUUGCCAGGUUGCAGCGUUAUUUUUGUUUAUUACGUCUCUAAGUGUUUACGGAGAGGGUGACGACAGGAGAAAAUCAAUGAGUGUGUGUUGCUUGGGCGAGGACAAAAGCGUGCGAGCAUCACAGCAAGAAUGUGCACUGAUGGAGGUUCCCCGCUAUUCUUCGCCUGCUCAGCUCGGGGACUGACUGACGACCGUAUCUGCAUUGCUACCCAUCAGCCACCCGUCGUCCCCAGCUUGUGGUGACAUAUGAUAAUGACAAGAAAUUCAUAAGGAUACUAUUAAGCUUUAUAAACCCUACCUCACAGUCUCUUAAAAAUCUAGAAUAGUACAAAACUCACAAAUAAUACUCGAAAAUAUAUCUCAUGAUUAUCUUAUGAAAUUAUGUAUUCUGUAACGCCACCGAGCCUGAUCUAUCCGACUGUGUUCAAUGAGAGUGGUGAAGAAGCUGCCGGGGACCCUCGCCUGCAGGAAGAGAAGUAUGUAGUGGGUCUGACAGUGCUGCUUACUUUGAUACUUCUCGGGGUGAUGGCCUCAGUACUCAUGUGCAUCGCCUCCCGCCAGGAACCGGGUAUCUUCGAGGGAAUCAGGUUCAAAAACAGAUUAUCCCACAGAGAGGUUGUAAAGCUUCCCCGAAGAGUUAGGUUUCAGUUGCCGGAGAGCCAUAUUAAUCUAGGCUUUUCUAAAAAGUUGCUUCUCUCUCCCUCUAAGGAAAAUGAGAACGAGGACGAAGAACAGGAGGAAGAGGAAGGAACGAUCACUAUUUGCUCAUAAGUACCAACACAAUGUGUGUCUUGCACGACCAGUAUUUAAAUGUAAGGUUCUGUGUAUCACGUGUCUUUAAUAAUUUGGUAGACGUAGACCAUUUACAUGUGACUUGCAGACGUAUUUACACUUACACUGAGUAUCACGGCAGCUAGUUAUAUUAUUCUCUCUCUCUCUCUCUCUCUCUCUCUCUCUCUCUCUCUCUCUCUCUCUCUCUCUCUCUCUCUCUCUCUCUCUCUCUCUCUCUCUCUCUCUCUGUGUGUGUGUGUGUGUCCGUAAAUCAUAUCAAUAACAGCUCCUCAUGGAUCAGCUAAAUGAUGCAUAUAUGAUGAUAAAUACUCACUGUAUAACACGUGUGUGGUGGUUUUGUUUUGGGGUCACGCUCGGUUACGUUACAGUGGCGUGAUUCGUGUUGCGCCGCAUCACAAAUUCUAAGUCCAUGGCGAUGAGGCUCGCUUGGAGGAAUAAUAUAACGCGUGUGUUAGCGUGUUGGUACGCGGGUAAUGCUGCGUCACGCUGCCACAAUAACUAGUCCCGUGGCAGGUAUUAUUCACCAUUGUAUUAUUGACUGAUAUUUCUGUUGCACUGGAUGGAAAUUAAUUGUCAUAUUAAUAUAUAAUCAAAUAAUUAUUUAUGCGUGACACAUUUGUAUUGUACGUAGUGCCACUAAUUCAAAUGGCCAUGUGUUGUCUGGAACUAUAGUCUGGAACUAGUCCGCGUGUAGGCCUCUGCGGGGGUAUGAGAGAGCUGCCACGUCAGUUCUACCUCCAUCAUGGCGUUAGACAGGUAUAUGGAUUGCGAUUUGGGUUUACUCUACUUUUUUUUCCUGCCCUAUAGUGGAAAACCUGGGAUUCUGUACAACUUAAUUUUGUGAGUAAUUCCAAAUCAUUCUUGUUAAUGUGGUGUGCUGGUGUAAUAUUAGGUUAGUGUCCAUAAGGGGACGAAGCUUCACCGGCUUGUUUAGAUUAGGUUAGAGUCCUUAGGUGGAGGGUCCAGGCUAGUUUACGUUAGCUUUAUUGUGGUGGGGGAUAUUCCCUGUUGAUUUUUUUUUUUUCUCCCAAAAUCGGUGUUUUCUUCAAACUUUUAAGGUUUAAAAAAAUUCGCCUAUUUUGGCUUUCCCCACUGUAAAACCCCGUUUUCCCACCAGGUCCCCAAGCUUGCUACUCCUGGAGAGAGGCAGAAAUAGAAUAUAGAGGGAGCCACUAUUGGUAAUAUUCUCUCUCUCUCUCUCUCUCUCUCUCUCUCUCUCUCUCUCUCUCUCUCUCUCUCUCUCUCUCUCUCUCUCUCUCUCUUAGAUCAGUGAGCCUAAUAAUUGUUUCCUUUCUGAGACAGAAAAAAAAAAAAAGAUAAAAAGAAAAAAAACUCUUCUAGCAGCGCAGGUAACAUUACCCAGUGGUGUGCUCAGAGGCGGAAACCCUUUUGUAAUAGAUGUCUUUUUCGGCGACUUUGUAUCAUCCUCUAAUUUUUAUAUGAAAGGCGCUGGCACACUAACACAUUUUCUGUUACUUUUUUUCGUCAACUUAUGAAAAUGGACAAUUUCUUGAGAGCGUCCCGUCACACACGCACAGCCAUUUGUCUGCACUUUCCGCGACAGUAAACGAACAUGGCUCCUCUGACGCACAGGCUAGCAGUCUCUCUCUCUGCACUUUAUUGCAUGUUUCGUAAAUCGUAGACGAGCCAAAGGAACUAAAAUGGUAUCUAGUAUAUGGGAGUAGAGAAACUUUCCAAAAGUUUAAACGUCUAUCGAGUCAUGCGAGCCACAGUUUGCUGCUAUAUAUCCACAAAUGAAAUGUAACGACAUGUGAAGUUAAACGAUUUUAUAUAUUCUUUAUUUGAAAUUUAAUAAUGAAAAUAAUAAAAGGUUUUACUUCUCGUCUCUAUAUAAGCAAUGGAUUUUCAUUUGACAACGUUGAUAACUCUCCUCCCUGAAAACGAUCACUCCCGUUUAACGAUGUAGAUGGAAAGAGACGAUGGAAUGAGGUAAAAGUUCACGGAAACCGACGGAAAAAUUGGCGGAAAACGUGCUGGUGUGACGGCGCCGCAGAGGAGUGUCACAACACAAAAAGCGCAAGAAAAUUAGUUCGACACGUUCUGACGAGGGAAGAAACAAUAACUUCAUUUCAGUGUUUUCCUUCCUUCGUUCAUAACAAACACGUGAUUAUACAUCUCAGAAACACUGGAUAUCAUUUUUCCACAAAAAAAAACAGUAAUCUCAUUGUAUUAUGACAAGAGGAUAGCCAAUAAUUUCUCACGUAGUGCAUUUUACCUUCCUUCCAAUACAACAAAGAUCUGAUUGCACAUUCCUAGAAAAAAAAAAAAAAAAAACUUUCUAUUACCUAGAAGAGAGAGAAGAAAAAAACUUGUAUGCAUUCUGACAAAAGAAGGCGACUCAAUAACUUCUCCCUUCAUAUUUCUUAAUCACUUAGAAUAGAUACGCUCCUCUAGACACUGACACCCUCCACAGCACAUAUUUACAACCUGACAUUUGCUAGUUAAAUACCACUCAGGGAGUAUUUAUUGUUUUUCAUAAUGACUCAAAACAGACGUAACCGUACGGCGACGCAACAAGACAGCCACUCAACUCCUCGAACGUGUUGAGAUCUAUCACCUUUAACCCAAAACUAAAGACGUGUUUACCAUUGGGUUCAUCGCCCCUACAUUGGGGACUUCCCUUCCGUAUAACAAUGAAACUGCCUGUAAGAUAGCUAUAAAGACUUCAGGAACUGAAUCUCUUCUCUUCCACUCACUAUCUCGGUGAAAUAAUCUAGACGACUUUUUGAAUAUGCAAGUGCUCACAUUUGUUUACAUUAGAUUCUUCCGGGAAUAUUAUGUAGAAUGAGUGGUAAUUUGUCUUACCGCAUUGAAUAAGGAACUUGAUUAGGUAGUGUGUCAGUACUUGUCUCGACCAACCAAGCCUACUCGAAUCGGUUCCGUUCAUCUGGCUCGAAUGAAUCCCUUGAGGGCGAGUGGGAGUCGGAGAGCAGUAACUGGAGACGUGCACGCGAGGAGGACCUGUAUGUUGGUAUGUUUGUUGUUUCCUUGUACUACGCGUUGUCCGGCGUUGUUCAUUUGAGUUCUGAUUGUAGGUAGCAAGUUAACAAGGGCUCGUCAUUAUCGCAUUGCUAAAGGUAAUAACAGAAAAGCCCAUAAUCGUAACUUAAGAAAAGAUGUUUGCUCCUUCACUGGUGUGCGGUUAUAUUUCCCUUGGACGUUUUCCUCCUGACGCUUUCCCAUUAUUUCCCUACGGACACAUUUUCCUCUGGACAUUUCCCUUCGCGGACUCAUUUCGCCCCUGGAUAUACGAGUAUUUAUUCCUUUUUUACUGCUACGAUGUUUUUUGUUAACAUUCAGAUCUCAUUUAAUAGUUUGGAUGGAUACCAGGAGAGGAGAAAGAACAUAAAGUUAAUCACGUCUUUCCUCGGUUGCAGAUUUGUUAAAAGACUACAGUAUACAAAAAUCUCUUAACUGUAAUUGAGUAUGAGAAGAAUUACCUGCCAGUGAAAAAGUUAACAAGCAACGUUAUUGGCUAAGUAGAUGGGGAUAGAGAAAACUGUCUGAAAGGAGAAACGUCGAACGGGAAAAAUGUCCAUGGGAGAAAAUAAUUCAGAGGAAAAGGGUGGAAGAUAGUGGAAGGGAGGGGAGAUCCUGCCCCGAAUCCCACCAGGUGAAGAGCGUUCUUUUUUUCCUAUCAAGCAGAAAGUGUUUUGACUGGAAUGUCAUCAAUACAACGAGAAAUUACUGUUAAAUAAUAUCAAAGGGAAGAAAACGAACAAAUUUUAAUGUUAUAUUCUUUUAUAUAAUAUUCAUAUCAUACAGUAUUGUCAAUUUGUACUUUUGUAUUGUCUUAUUGAAUUACAUUAAAUUCAAAUUUCAGUCACAGAGUAUUUAAAAAAAAAAAAUUGUUUUUUUUUGUUUGCGCAGCAUGAAUAAUUUCUUUAUUGUGAGUUGUCCGAAGACUGGUGUCAGUAGAAGUUAUAAUGUGACUGUAGAUUAAAUUUGGAAAUGUUCUUAACUGUUUAGCCCAUUAGUAGUUCCUGGCAGGAAGGAAUGUAAAUGGCAGGAAGGAGCGUAUUAUGUGUAAAAUUAUGUGUAUGUGACAGUCCUGGGGAGACCGGAUCAUCAUAGGGGACCAGAUGGCUCCAUGGUAAUGUCUUGCUUGGCCUUGUAACCAAAAGAUGGCGAGUUCAGUCCUGCAUGUGAUGGGUGCCUUUUGGUCCAAGGAGUGGGGUCCUCACAAGCCUGACCCUUCACCGUUACAUUGCAUCAUGCAAACUAUGGUGGUGCCAUGAUCUCAGCUCUUCAACACAUAAUACUUUUCACUUCCAAUGCAUUUAUAUUUGGAGUAUCAAGGAAAAUGUAUUUGCGACGGAAAUUCUUGUGGGAAUUGUUUUAAGCAUAUCAUCCAUCAUAUGUGGGAAAUGUGUGUUGUGUUGGUGCCGCUCGACUGCUGUUGUUUAUUAAAAGAAUAAGCAGCGCCUUGAUGAUUUGUGUGUUUAUUCGUGUUAUUGUAUUAUUGUAUCGUACUUGAAAAUACAAACACUUGUAUAUAAUUUUGAAAUAAUGCUUAUUCCUAUCAUUAGUGCAGUAUUUUUCAUGAAUACUGCAAAAGAAAGCUCCACGAUUUUACAUCAAGCAGUGAUUUUGUAACAUAAUUUACCAUAUUUCUCUCUUUGAAAUAAACAUACUGAUGAUAAUUAUCCUUAUCUUUUCAUCCAGUCUCAUGUUAAGAGAAAAUGUCGUUAUCAGGCACUGUUAAUGAACCUUUGCUGAAAAGAAAGCUGACCAACUCCCGGAAUAUGAUGCGUGCGUUCAGACUGCUUAGUACGUGUGUAAGAUUUCAAAGACUAAAAAAAAAAAAGUACAAGAAUAAACUCCCUUUGUUUAACUAUGAAGGAUUUUAGUAAAAAUAACAUAGAAGAAUGUAGCGACAAAUUUUACCUUCAUUUUUACUUAAAAGUUUCAUGUUUGAAUGCAGAAAGGAGUUGAUUAACUGAUAUCAGGAAAGUAUCAUACAUGAAAUGCAUGUAACCGUAACCUAGGUCAAGUAAUAAUUGCUUAUGACUGGAGGCUCUGCUUGAGAAACACCGAAAGUGACCCGAGGUGUGUUCUCUUGCAGGACAGUGUUCCUGCAUACAAGAGCAUGGUGGCCAUAAGCUAAGUGGUGUCCUACGGCUUCGAAUUGUUGCCCCAUCCCCCCUUAUUACCCAGAUCUGGCACCUUCCUUUUCCCACACAUGAAGAAGCAGCUGUGAGGUUUAUCUUUCGCUGAUGACAAGGAGAUCAAGAAGGUCAAGGAGGUUUUGGAGGGAUUCGGUCAACCAUUCCUUAGGGAUGGAUUUUUGCAGUUGAUGACGAGACCAGAAAAAUACAUCAUGAUCAAAGAUUACGUUGGAG